GUCGUCCAUUCUUCAACGCAACCUCCGGAAGACAUUUCUACUUUCACCAGGAAACUCUUGCCAGCAACAGGUUUCAUAAAGUAAUGUGUGGUUCUGAAACUGGCUCAUCCUCGACUUCUUUCAGAGAUUUAGAUGUUCAGAAAAUUGAAUAUGUCACGCUAUUGGAGCUGAAUGCCUAUGUCGUUAAUCCUAUCCCACAGGAAACUGAAUUCCUCUGCAAAGCUAAAGUCAGUGACAUCUCCGGUUCUAAGUGUUAAAGCUACAGCAUGGCUUCACAUCUUAUACAUGUGCCUGGU